AUUGAACGCUGGCGGCAGGCCUAACACAUGCAAGUCGAGCGAGCGGCGGACGGGUGAGUAAUGUAUGGGGACUGCCCGAUAGAGGGGGAUAACUACUGGAAACGGUGGCCAAUACCGCAUACUAUCGGAUAACCCAUAUGGGAUUAGCUAGUAGGUGGGGUAAAGGCUCACCUAGGCGACGAUCUCUAGCUGGUCUGAGAGGAUGAUUGACCAAACUGGAACAGAGAAACGGCCCGGACUGCAACGGAAGCAGCAGGGGGGAAUAUUGCACAAUGGGAGGAAGCCUGAAGCAGCCAAGCCGCGUGUAUGAAGAAGGCCUGAGGGUUGUAAAGUAAUUUCAGCGGGGAGGCGUUAACCGCAGAAGAAGCACCGGCUAACACCGUGCCAGCAGCCGCGGUAAUA
rnacentral:rRNA from 1 species